rnacentral:rRNA from 1 species
UACGUAGGUGGCAAGCGUUAUCCGGAUCUAUUGGGCGUAAAGGGAACGCAGGCGGUCUUUUAAGUCUGAUGUGAAAGCCUUCGGCUUAACCGGAGUAGUGCAUUGGAAACUGGGAGACUUGAGUGCAGAAGAGGAGAGUGGAACUCCAUGUGUAGCGGUGAAAUGCGUAGAUAUAUGGAAGAACACCAGUGGCGAAAGCGGCUCUCUGGUCUGUAACUGACGCUGAGGGUCGAAAGCGUGGGUAGCAAACAGG